UCACGCCGUACCCAGUGCCCGCUCCCUCGUCUUUCAGCCGGCGGCCGUGGCGUCUGCCCGCUUUACCGGAACGUCUUCUCCCUCCUGCUCAACGGCAACAACCCCCGGGCGGUGAUGGAGAUCGCGGGCCGCUUCGGUCCCGACCAGGAGGCCGUGGCCGCCCUGGGUCAGCUGCAGGCCCGCCUGGAUGAUCUCGCUGUCCCCCACAAACGGAAGAUCAAGGUCAUCCUCGACAAGGUUUACCAGGACGUGCACUGCCAAGCCGGCCAGUGAGGAUGCUCAGAGCUGGUGCUGCCGUUCCCGUGCCCCGCCGGGAUCCCCGGAUGUCCGGGGGCUAUGAUCCCAGCCCCCUCCUCCAGCCUCCUUGAGCCCCCGAGAGAGGGCGGAGGCCGCGUAGCCGGUGACAGAGCUUCUCCCACCCAGAUGAGUCAAAUAAAAGAAGUGCAGCAGCCUA